rnacentral:pre_miRNA from 1 species
GUGUCUAAUUCAGUACAAUGAUAAAAAUGUUGGUAUCUUUGUACUGUUUUAGACUCUUU